rnacentral:sRNA from 1 species
UACAUCCAAUGUUACGAUGAGACCGUUGC